GGGGAUAUAGCUCAGUUGGGAGAGCACCUGCAUGGCAUGCAGGGGGUCGGGGGUUCGAGUCCCCCUAUCUCCACCA
rnacentral:tRNA from 1 species